rnacentral:rRNA from 1 species
GGAUCAAUUUAUUGGUCGUGCUAUUGUACGUACUGGUAUUAUUGAUUCCUACCUUCUGACGAACCAUGAUGUCAUUAAUUUGGUGUCAUGGGGAAUCAGGACUGUUACUUUGAAAAAAUUAGAGUGUUUAAAGCAGGCUCACGCUUGAAUACAUUAGCAUGGAAUAACGAAAUAGGACGUUUGAUUCUAUUUUGUUGGUUUCUAGGAUCGACGUAAUGAUUAAUAGGGAUAGUUGG